GCUGGCGGCACGCCUAACACAUGCAAGUCGAACGAAGUAGCAAUACUUAGUGGCAGACGGGUGAGUAACAUGUAGGUAUCUUCCCUUUGGCCUGGAAUAACACGAGGAAACUUGUGCUAAUACCGGAUAAGUCUUCACAGAGAAAGCUUUAUGCACCAUUGGAUGAGCCUGCACUUGAUUAGUUUGUUGGUGGGGUAAUGGCCUACCAAGACUGUGAUCAAUAGCUGAUUUGAGAGGAUGAUCAGCCACAUUGGGACUGAGACACGGCCCAAACUCCUACGGGAGGCAGCAGUGGGGAAUCUUGCACAAUGGAGGAAACUCUGAUGCAGCGAUGCCGCGUGAGUGAAGAAGGCCCUUGGGUUGUAAAGCUCUUUCGUCGGGGAAGAAAAUGACUGUACCCGAAUAAGAAGGUCCGGCUAACUUCGUGCCAGCAGCCGCGGUAAUACGAAGGGACCUAGCGUAGUUCGGAAUUACUGGGCUUAAAGAGUUCGUAGGUGGUUGAAAUAGUUGGUGGUGAAAUCCCAGAGCUUAACUCUGGAACUGCCAUCAAAACUUUUCAGCUAGAGUUUGAUAGAGGAAAGCAGAAUUUCUAGUGUAGAGGUGAAAUUCGUAGAUAUUAGAAAGAAUACCAAUUGCGAAGGCAGCUUUCUGGAUCAUUACUGACACUGAGGAACGAAAGCAUGGGUAGCGAAGAGGAUUAGAUACCCUCGUAGUCCAUGCCGUAAACGAUGUGUGUUAGACGUUGGAAAUUUAUUUUCAGUGUCGCAGCGAAAGCGAUAAACACACCGCCUGGGGAGUACG
rnacentral:rRNA from 1 species